rnacentral:rRNA from 1 species
CCUACGGGAGGCAGCAGUAAGGGAUAUUGGUCAAUGGGGGAAACCCUGAUGGUGCGACGCCGCGUGGGGGAAUGAAGGUCUUCGGAUUGUAAACCCCUGUCAUGUGGGAGCAAAUUAAAAAGAUAGUACCACAAGAGGAAGAGACGGCUAACUCUGUGCCAGCAGCCGCGGUAAUACAGAGGUCUCAAGCGUUGUUCGGAAUCACUGGGCGUAAAGCGUGCGUAGGCUGUUUCGUAAGUCGUGUGUGAAAGGCGCGGGCUCAACCCGCGGACGGCACAUGAUACUGCGAGACUAGAGUAAUGGAG